UUUAUGGAGAGUUUGAUCCUGGCUCAGGAUGAACGCUGGCGGCGUGCCUAAUACAUGCAAGUCGAGCGAACGGACGAGAAGCUUGCUUCUCUGAUGUUAGCGGCGGACGGGUGAGUAACACGUAGAUAACCUACCUAUAAGACUGGGAUAACUUCGGGAAACCGGAGCUAAUACCGGAUAAUAUUUUGAACCGCAUGGUUCAAAAGUGAAAGACGGUCUUGCUGUCACUUAUAGAUGGAUCCGCGCUGCAUUAGCUAGUUGGUAAGGUAACGGCUUACCAAGGCAACGAUGCAUAGCCGACCUGAGAGGGUGAUCGGCCACACUGGAACUGAGACACGGUCCAGACUCCUACGGGAGGCAGCAGUAGGGAAUCUUCCGCAAUGGGCGAAAGCCUGACGGAGCAACGCCGCGUGAGUGAUGAAGGUCUUCGGAUCGUAAAACUCUGUUAUUAGGGAAGAACAUAUGUGUAAGUAACUGUGCACAUCUUGACGGUACCUAAUCAGAAAGCCACGGCUAACUACGUGCCAGCAGCCGCGGUAAUACGUAGGUGGCAAGCGUUAUCCGGAAUUAUUGGGCGUAAAGCGCGCGUAGGCGGUUUUUUAAGUCUGAUGUGAAAGCCCACGGCUCAACCGUGGAGGGUCAUUGGAAACUGGAAAACUUGAGUGCAGAAGAGGAAAGUGGAAUUCCAUGUGUAGCGGUGAAAUGCGCAGAGAUAUGGAGGAACACCAGUGGCGAAGGCGACUUUCUGGUCUGUAACUGACGCUGAUGUGCGAAAGCGUGGGGAUCAAACAGGAUUAGAUACCCUGGUAGUCCACGCCGUAAACGAUGAGUGCUAAGUGUUAGGGGGUUUCCGCCCCUUAGUGCUGCAGCUAACGCAUUAAGCACUCCGCCUGGGGAGUACGACCGCAAGGUUGAAACUCAAAGGAAUUGACGGGGACCCGCACAAGCGGUGGAGCAUGUGGUUUAAUUCGAAGCAACGCGAAGAACCUUACCAAAUCUUGACAUCCUUUGACAACUCUAGAGAUAGAGCCUUCCCCUUCGGGGGACAAAGUGACAGGUGGUGCAUGGUUGUCGUCAGCUCGUGUCGUGAGAUGUUGGGUUAAGUCCCGCAACGAGCGCAACCCUUAAGCUUAGUUGCCAUCAUUAAGUUGGGCACUCUAAGUUGACUGCCGGUGACAAACCGGAGGAAGGUGGGGAUGACGUCAAAUCAUCAUGCCCCUUAUGAUUUGGGCUACACACGUGCUACAAUGGACAAUACAAAGGGCAGCGAAACCGCGAGGUCAAGCAAAUCCCAUAAAGUUGUUCUCAGUUCGGAUUGUAGUCUGCAACUCGACUACAUGAAGCUGGAAUCGCUAGUAAUCGUAGAUCAGCAUGCUACGGUGAAUACGUUCCCGGGUCUUGUACACACCGCCCGUCACACCACGAGAGUUUGUAACACCCGAAGCCGGUGGAGUAACCUUUUAGGAGCUAGCCGUCGAAGGUGGGACAAAUGAUUGGGGUGAAGUCGUAACAAGGUAGCCGUAUCGGAAGGUGCGGCUGGAUCACCUCCUUUCU
rnacentral:rRNA from 1 species